CCCUGUUGCUCAGAUGGUAAAGAAUCUGCCUGUAAUGCAGAAGACCUGGGUUCAAUUCCUGGGUCAGGAA
rnacentral:tRNA from 1 species